AGAGUCUCUUGCCCAGGGUAGGGGAAUCGGGGACCAAAGGACAUAGGUUCAAGGUGAAGGGGAAAAGAUUUAAUAGGAAUCCGAGGGGUAACUUUUUCACACAAAGGGUGGUGAGUGUAUGGACCAGGCUGCCAGAGGAGGUAGUUGAGGCUGGGACUAUCCCAUCGUUUAAGAGACAGUUAGACAGGUACAUGGAUAGGACGGGUUUGGAGGGAUAUGGACCAAGUGCAGGUAAGUGGGACUAGUGUAGCUGGGACAUUGUUGGUUGGUGUGGGCGAAUUGGGCCGAAAGGCCUGUUUCCACAUUGUAUCACUCUACGACUUUAUGACUAUAAAAUGCUUAAAAAGCUGGUCAUGCUUACUCAAUAUAUUUUUAGAAAGUGCAUCAAACUUUACUAUUGAUUAAAUUAAUCAUUCACAUAAUUUGCCAAUUUGAAGCAAACCGAAUUAACUCUUCAAAAAAAUAAAUUGUCGUUACCACUCUUUUGGGAUAUGUUUUUUAUGGACCAUCCCCUUGUGGGAUAGGGUUACUGUCAGGAGGAUAAUAUGGCUAUUUCACGGCUAUUGUUGGAUGAGUGUAUUUACUGCAGGAGAAUAUUGUAGAAUUUGGAAUGCAUCUUUGAGCUUCCACUCAUAAUCUCUUUUGCACGGAUUUUCAUUGAUUUUCAACUUUCACGAUUUUCCGUUGCAUAGUGACUUGCCUCAUGGUUUAAGCAGCAUCCUUGGUGACCCUGCUCCUUCUGAUGUUAUGGGAGGACAACAGCUGUAAUGCUACCAGCAUUCCAUGAUACACUUGGUGAUAUUGCAUUUUGAGUGGGCAAUCAGGCAGCUAAGUUACCGGGGGCUUUCAUGUCUGCCUAUGAUGAUGCCAUCUGUGCUUCGAUGGUGAACAUUAACAUAGCCGUAGGUUCAUCAUGGGAAAUCACUGGCAGCCUCUCUUCAGCCCUAAAGUGGAAAAAGAUGAAGUUCUCAUCUAUAAUGGCUCCUGCAAUGUCUCCAUGGCAAUGAAGGCAGUGAUAAAGUGUGAGGUGUUUCGACAGCCAGAGCUGGUUACAGUGAAGAUAAUAGAGACUUUGGAACAUUGGGGACAGAGCAUCUACGUACCAUAAUGUCACAGAGCCUAUUAGCAAACCCUCACUCUGUCACAAACUGUUACAGGUGCAAACAAGGUUUGGUCAGAAGUCACAUCAUCUGGACCCUAAAUACUGAUUCCCACAGUAACGAUUUCUUUUUUCAAGAUAUGUUGGGAUUGCUUUAUUUUUAAGAAAAAUGACAAGCGAAUAUCAAUGUAAUGCACAAUCUGAAGUGCUGCCCUUUAAAAUUGAAUAUUUUGACCAAUGCAGUUUACAAUAGUAUGUCAAAGCAAUUGAUCAUAUCUGAUUUAUAUUACAUUCCAGUUCAAUAAAGAUAUAUAUUUUUAAAUGUUAUAAGACAUUGCAGAUGAUUUUAUAUUGACCUUGAAUGACAAUGGUUCAGUCAAGUAUCCCUUUGUGCUGCUUAAAAGUGCUGUUGAUUUGAUACAAAGAUGAAAACUAGGGCUUACUUAUAAACACCAGUGAUUUUAUUGUGACACCAAUCCUUAUAAGUACUUUAUUGUGGUUUAAAUACAUUGGGAUUCAAAAGAUAAUUUCUGAAAACUCGACAAAAAAAUUCUAUAGCAAAGUUUUCAUAGUCAAUAUCAUCUGCGGGGCGAUUUAAUGAGAACAUCAAGUUAACCUAAAUUCAAGUCAACCUAAUAGGAGAUUAGAAUUAUUCUGCUUCCCUACUUUUUAUAACUUACUUUCAUGAAUAAAGAAUAUUGAGAAGCUUUCUGUGGCAUUGAAUACUAAGAUAUGUCAUGGUUUUAUUCCAAGAUGACAAAGCCCAUCCAUUAAGUUCUUUGAAUGCAGCUAGAAAUGUGCUUUUUAUGAAUGAAACAUGAGGUAUGGAGAAGAAAGGAACUGCAGAUGCUAGUUUACCAAGGAAAGACACAAAAUGGUGGAGUAACUCAGCGGGUCAUGCAGCAUCCCUGGAGCACAUGGAUAGGUGAUAUGACCUUCCUUCAGACUGAUCUGGGUGUGAUUAUAAAUCUGCAUCCUCCAACUUUCUAGGGCAGAUACA